CCUACGGGUGGCAGCCGUGAGGAAUAUUGUUCAAUAGGCGCAAGCCUGAACCAGCCAAGUCUCGUGAGUGAUGACGUUCCUAUGAAUUGUAAACCUCUUUAGGCGGGGAGCAAUGCCUGGCACUUGUGCCCGGAGGUCGAGUACCCACAGAAUAAGCAUCGGCUAACUCCGUUCCAGCAGCCGAGUUAAUACGUGGGAUACAGGCGUUAUCCGGAUUUAUUGGUGUUAAAGGGUGCUUAGGCGGAUGUUUAAGUCAUCGGUAAAAUGUCCGGGCUCAACCCAGGCCGGCCGUUGAAACUGGUGAUCUUUAGUGGGCGAGAAGUAUGCGGAAUGCGUGGUGUAGCGGUGAAAUGCAUAGAUAUCACGCAGAACUCCGAUUGCGAAGG
rnacentral:rRNA from 1 species